UAGGGAAUCUUCCACAAUGGACGAAAGUCUGAUGGAGCAACGCCGCGUGAGUGAAGGAGGGUUUCGGCUCGUAAAACUCUGUUGUUAAAGAAGAACAUAUCUGAGAGUAACUGUUCAGGUAUUGACGGUAUUUAACCAGAAAGCCACGGCUAACUACGUGCCAU
rnacentral:rRNA from 1 species